AUCAUAUCUUUUAUCAAAACAUUAAUAAAAGCAGUUCUAACGAAUAAUAAAAUAGGACUAAUUGAAAAUUAUGACGUGACUCACAAUAAAAUAAUCAACUGUUAUUAAAUAUUCUAGUGUUUCUAAAAAUUAAAGUACUUCAUGAUGUAGAUCCAUUGGUCCAAUAUGCAUCUAUCCACCGCUGUCCAGCAUACUAAUUAUUACCUGAAAAUUGUAAAUAAAGAGGGAUGAGUAUAACGAAUUAUACUCAAUGAGAUGCUUGCUACUCCACAUUCAAAUCAAACGUGAAAUUAUGCAUAAAUUCUCUUACCAACAUAACAUGAGAAUUAUCACACCAUGACAAAUGAUAAUUCAAGCAAGCGCUGCAAAUAACGUGAAGGCUAAAUUGUGCCUUAAACUGUAUCAUGAUUUCUCCCGAAAGAGCUCUGAACUGAAGUAAUUAAAUCCAUACAUAACAACGUAUUUGAAAAGAUGUGGACAAACCACUAAUAGCACUGAGCAUCUCACCUUUUGAAGAUGAACGUGGAAAGUAAAAUUGCUGAAAACGUGAUUCUUUAUUGCAAUUCCAAAGCCUUAAAAAGCCUUAAUAAUAUGGAGAAAUAUUUUGAAGAGGAGGAGAGAAUAAAG
rnacentral:lncRNA from 1 species